rnacentral:miRNA from 1 species
GGUCUUUCAUAAAAUUUGGUAUCG